AUACGUAGGGAGCGAGCGUUGUCCGGAAUUACUGGGCGUAAAGGGCGCGUAGGCGGCGCUUCAAGUCGUCUGUCAAAUGGGAGGGCUUAACCCUUUUUCGCAGACGAAACCGGAGAGCUUGAGAAGCAGAGAGGCAAACAGAAUUCCUGGUGUAGCGGUGAAAUGCGUAGAUAUCAGGAAGAAUACCAGUGGCGAAGGCGGUUUGCUGGCUGCAUACUGACGCUGAAGCGCGAAAGCCAGGGGAGCGAACGGGAUUAGAUACCCCGGUAGUCCUGGCAGUAAACGAUGUAUGCUGGGUGUGAGACUAGCGAUAGUUUCGUGCCGAAGUUAACGCGAUAAGCAUACCGCCUGGGGAGUACGGUCGCAAGAUUGAAACUCAAAUGAAUUGGCGGGG
rnacentral:rRNA from 1 species